rnacentral:tRNA from 1 species
GCCGGGGUGCCCGAGCCAGGUCAAAGGGGGCGGAUUCAGGGUCCGCUGGUGUAGGCCUGCGUGGGUUCAAAUCCCACCCCCGGCACCA